rnacentral:lncRNA from 1 species
GGCGGGCGGCGGAGCUUCCCACGCGGCCCGGGAGGACGCGGCCUGCGGGGCGGGGCGGGCACUGAGCCUCCAGCCGCGUCUCUCUGCCGCACUGCGGAGCUGCCGUCCAGCAGCAAGCGCAUCUGCUUUUCUCUGACUAGGAGAGAACAUCUGGCUUAAGCCAUCAUGAAGCUGAGUUGCCCAUUUCAGUCCAUGGGCAGCUGGCCCCAAGACAGAAACAACACGGUGGAAGGGAAAGCUGCUUACUCGGCGGACAGGAAGCAGAGCAGAGGGGCAGAACCUGAGCGAAGGCAAUGGGGAGCAGAUACAGCGGGAAGGUCACGCCCCAUGACCGCCUCCUCCAACGAGGGUCCGCCUCUCAACCGCCGUUCUUCCGUUCCUCCGGCUCCGCUGCGGUGCCUUCGCCAGCCAGGCGCAUAGUCCAGUCUCUGCAGCCAAACUGAGGAUUAGGGCAACGAGAGCACGGUCCUGAAGGGCGGCUCAGGCCUCCGAGUUUAUACUUUCUGACCUAUAGGAGUAGCCUCACUUUGUUCCACUCCCAUGUUCCUACACUUGUUCUCUCUCCCGCACUAGCUUAUCUUAAAUCUAAGUUUGAAUGAGUUACAUUGUUUUUAAUUUGUCUUAAUGGUCCACUCAGGGAUACAGUUUGAAUUAUUGGACUGGCUGUGGAGGUAUCCUUCCUUCCUUCCUUCCUUCCUUCCUUCCUUCCUUCCUUCCUUCCUUCCUUCCUUCUCUUUUCUUUUUUUAAUGAAAGCACAUGUUUUUAAGUGGAACCUAUGGGAAUAUAAUUUGAGACUUAGUAUGCAGAGUUAUUAGAAUGGCAAUUAUAACUAAAUAAACAUACAUCAGUUCACAGUAGCUGAUCUCAAUUAACCUGGUAUGGGCAGCUUUCUCCCACAUAGAACAGCAAAAUUCCUCGUGACAUUGGCAUCUACUGACUUUGUGCUGAAGUGGUCAGGAAAAGAAAGGCAGAGUUGAUGACUAAGAUAACAACUGAGGUGUGAGGUGUUAGCAGUAGUUGUUAUGUUUGUAGAUCUCUUUUUGGACACAAAAUUCACCACAGUGUGAUUAUGUAUAUUUAAAAUUGUACUUAUGUUUGUGCAUAUGACGUAUGUGUACACCCCAGCCAAACCUCAUUGUGAACAUGAACAUUAGUGGAUACUUUAGUGCAAGUCUCAGCAAACUGUGACCCACAAGCCAAGUCUAGCCUCACAGUUGCUUGCUUUUCUCUUUCUUGAAACCAAAUUUGACUCAUACUGAAAAUGAACAAUACCAAACUUCACAUGAUCAAAAGAAUCUACCAGUAAUUGACCUGCAUGACUCAGGAAGCAGAAUGUCCUUUAGAGAAUGACAAUGCAAUCUUGUAAUCUUGUAAAUGCCCAGGAUACAAUUAAAUUUCAUCAGAAUGCAAAGAGAAAAAUGAGAAUCAUAAGAGAAAAAGACAUGUAUUAAAAAUAUUUGUGAGAUGACCCUGUUGUUAGGAUUAGCAGAAAAAAAUUUAAAGUAGCUUCUAUAAAUACGUUCAAGAGAAAAUAAAGAGAGAAAUCCCAAGGACUAAAUAGUAUGUGAAAUUAAAAAUUCACGAAAUAGGCUUAUCGUCAGUUUGUGAACUGCAAAUUUCAUCAGUUAACUUGAAGACAGACCACGUGGGAUUAUCCAGUCUAAAGACCAGAAAGAAAAGGGCCAGGGAUUUAGCUCAGUGGCGUCGUGGUCAUGACUUGGAUCCCCGGUACAGCAAAGAGAAAAAAAAAAAUGACGAGAAAGAAAUGGAAUGAGGAGACUCAGUUACUAUCAAUAACAAGGGGGUCUUAUGCACAUACAAUUAGGGUCCUAGAAGAGAAUCUGAGGCAUUAUUUUAUAGGAUAAUGCAAAAAUGCAUUAAGGCAUUGAUGCAAUAAUGGCUGAAAAUAUCCCAAAUUUACAAAAAAGACAGUGAUCUACGAAGCUCAGUGAAUGCUAAAUAGGUUAAUCACAAAGAUAAUUAUAUCUAGAUUCAUUAUAGUCAAACUAAUCCAGUAAGGGAAAAAGUUUUAAAGGCAACCAGAGGAAAGUGAUAUGUUAUGUUUGGCAAAAACGAUUAAAUUGAUAGCUGACUUAUCAGAAACAAAACAUAAAAGGUCAAUGGGUUUACAGUGUUGGAAAACAAAACUGAAUCAAGAAGUAUUCUUCAAAACUGGAAGUAGAAUAAUAAAUAAAACCAGGAAAUCCAUUGCCAACAGACUCCACCCUAAGACAUGUGAAAAGAGGGCCAGGGAUUUAGUUCAGUGGCACCACACCUGCCUGGCAAAUGCAUGGUCCUGAGUCAAAUCCCUGGUACUGCAAAAAAAAAAGUGAAAAGAGACUCUUCAGGAAGAAAGAUGAUUCACCAGGUGGAAACCGUAAUCUGUAGUGUUUUGAGUUAUCCUUUGUGGUGUAGUAAAUUUAGUGUUUUUGGGGGGGGGGAUUGAGACAGGGUCUCAUAAUGUAGUUCAGGCUGGCUUUGAACUCAUGGGGAUCCUCCUGCCUCACCCUCCCCAGUGCUAGGAUUACAGGUAUGCACCACCAUGUGGGCAAUUUAGUAAUUUAAAAGAAUAGUCAGUUAUUAUUUCUCCCUCUUCUGUAGCCUAGCCAGACUUCACUGGAUGAUUCUUCUGCUCUAUGUCUUACUGUCCAGGGUCACUCACUGGAGAGUGGAAAGAGCUAGGAGUUCCAAGAUAGCUUCAGUCACACAUCUGGCCAGCUCUGGCAGCUCAAAUGGCUGGGACAGGCCUGUUUCCCUCCAAGUCUUUUAAACCAUUCAGUAAUCUAGCCUAAUCUUAUGCAUUUGCCUACUGGAUUCUAGAAGAUAAAAGUGGAAGGAAAUGGCUUCCUAGGACAUAGUCUCAGAAUUGGUACGGCACCACUUUGCCAUGUGUUGUUCAUCAAAACAAGUUAAAAGAAGGGCAGGGGCUUUAGCUCAGUGGUUUCGCCGCCUCCUCCUACGCAAGCACAAGGAUCCGAGUUUGAUCCCCGGUGUGGGACUGCAUAACCUUUGUUCCUUUUCUCCAGCCCCAUUGUGAUUAAAUGUGAGUUAAUGGAUAAAGAUGCUUGUUAGUUUUGGGACACUAGAUAAAAAUCUGUAACAGACCUAAAGUCCCAAAGUAAACUACUCAACUCCUUGUUUGCCCAGAACUGAUGUUCCGGACACCACAAUCUAUAGAACAAGCUGCAAAUGUCUGCUGACCAUCAAUACGUGACAGUCGACCACUAACCUUUGUCCCCUUUUCUUUAAUUCUAUAUGUUAACUUCCCCCUCAGCCCCCUAUAAAAACAGCCUCGGACUCUGAGCCAGUUGCCUCUCUAAGCUACUUUGCUUUGGGAGUGCCGUCUGGCCAGACUAAUAAAGCUCUGUUUUACUUUCCAACUUGUCCGGUGUGUUCCUUCCCGGGUGUUCUUCGCUGUAGUCAGCUCCUCGGAGGGUUUGGUAAGGCCAGCGGUCUUACACUGGAACCAAAAAAAAAACAAGUUACAAGACCAGCCUUGAUUCAUGGGGUGGGAGAAGAG